GGCAAAUACAUUUGUACAUCAUUUGCUUAACAGUGGAAGGUAUUUCUAGAGAAGCAGUCAUUACAAGUGUCAUUGCAAAAGGAGAGAGUCACGUGACUCACAUUCAACACUGAACACAAGAAGAUCCUCGAAGAUCUUUCAGAUGAUGAAGAAGUUUGUGCAAAUGAAGAUUACUGGAAUGGGCAGAGGAGCUGGAAAACACAACAUGCUUUAUAAAGGUCUAACAUGUUCACCAGAGCAGAGAGGACCAAUCAGGACACAGGACUAAACAGAUCCCAGUGGUCUGAGACAUAAAAACAUUAAUCAAUAACAACACCCAAGCCUCAUUGUUUAAAACGGUGACGAGGAUUGGACGAAGUCUUCAGAUUAACAUUUUAAUAGUCAAAAUGAUUAAAAAUAUAUGUACAUUUGAAUAGUUUAUUUUUAAAAUCAUUAAAUAAUAACAAUAAAAGUUUCCAAUAGGUCUAUGUUGUCAUAGUUCAAAUGUCUAUUUUACCGUUAUAUUCAGUGACUGACAGCUAAUACUACUGUAAGGGCGUAUAUUGAGA